AGAAAGUGGGAUUUUUUUUUUUCUUGAUUAGUUUGUUAGGUUGGCUUUUACUGAUCUAAAGCAUUCACAUUUAGUGGCAUGAUGAAGCAAGUCAAGAAGUUGAUUUCGAUGUAAUUUAGCGAGAAUUUUCCGGUUUUGCAAGGUUUUUGUUUUAUGGGUUUUCAUUAUUUGCUCAUUAGUGAUUAAUUGGAUCUAAUUUUGUGUUUUUUUUUUUU
rnacentral:misc_RNA from 1 species